GAUGAACGCUAGCGGAAGGCUUAAUACAUGCAAGUCGAGCGGUAGGUGGCUUCGGCCAUUGAGAGCGGCGCACGGGUGAGUAACGCGUACAUGACCUGCCUGUCAGAAGGGGAUAGCCCUGGGAAACUGGGAUUAAUACCCUAUGGUAUUGAUAUUAUGAAUGAUAUCAACUAAAGUUGAGGCGCUGACAGAUGGAUGUGCGUCUGAUUAGCUAGUUGGUAGGGUAACGGCCUACCAAGGCGACGAUCAGUAGGGGGCGUGAGAGCGUGGUCCCCCACACGGGUACUGAGACACGGACCCGACUCCUACGGGAGGCAGCAGUAAGGAAUAUUGGUCAAUGCCCGCAAGGGUGAACCAGCCAUUCCGCGUGGAGGAUGAAGGCCCUAUGGGUUGUAAACUUCUUUUAGAUGGGAAGAAAUGCUAGAUGUAUCUGGUACUGACGGUACCAUCAGAAUAAGCACCGGCUAACUCCGUGCCAGCAGCCGCGGUAAU
rnacentral:rRNA from 1 species